AUUAUUUUUAGUGCGAGAAGCUACCUUUUAAGAAAUACUUUGUCCAUGAUUUUUUUGCUUUUGUUUUUGUUUUUGUUUUGAGACAGGAUCUCACUUUGUUCCCCAGGCUGGAGUGCAGUUCACGGCUCACUGUGGCCUCGACCUCCUGGGCUCGAGUGAUCCUCCCUCCUCAGCUUCCUGAAUAGCUGGGACCACAGGUGUAUGCUACCACACCUGGCUAAUUUUUGUAUUUUUUUGUAGAGAUGGAGUUUCAACAUGUUGCCCAGGCUGGUCUAACUUUUGAGCUCAAGUGAUCCUCCCAAAGUGCUGGGAUUAUAUGCGUGAGCCACCACACCUGGCCAAUGAUAUAUAUUGUUAAGUAAGAAAAGCAAUUUGCAGAGUAUUGUACACAAUAAGAUCUAAUUUUUGUAAGAGAGUGGAACCCUACAGCUAUAUGCGUAUGUCUUGUAUAUAUUUGCUCAAGCAUGGAGCUCUUAGGGGUUGAGGACUUUACAACCCUGAUUUACCAUGACAGGGUGGGAGUGGAGGGGGUAGGUGAAUGGAAAGCAGAUUAUUAACCAAAAAGAAAGAAAAAGACAAAAAGGAAAAGAAGGUUGUCAGUUGCUCUGUGGCAGCUGUUGGCCACUUAGUUGCCUUUGUGGUUCCAGAAGCAGUCCUGGGAGGCCCCUCUGUAGGGAAGAUGGAGAGCAAACAGGCAAGUCUGCUCAGGGGCCUUGAGAGGAAAUGUCUCAAAGACGGCCAGUGCUAAUGCCUUGUGUUGGCCUGGCGAUCCCAUAGGAGUUCAGUGAAG
rnacentral:lncRNA from 10 species